rnacentral:rRNA from 1 species
AGUGAACGCUGGCGGUAGGCCUAACACAUGCAAGUCGAACGGCAGCACAGUAAGAGCUUGCUCUUACGGGUGGCGAGUGGCGGGCGGGUGAGGAAUACAUCGGAAUCUACUUUUUCGUGGGGGAUAACGUAGGGAAACUUACGCUAAUACCGCAUACGACCUACGGGUGAAAGCAGGGGAUCUUCGGACCUUGCGCGAUUGAAUGAGCCGAUGUCGGAUUAGCUAGUUGGCGGGGUAAAGGCCCACCAAGGCGACGAUCCGUAGCUGGUCUGAGAGGAUGAUCAGCCACACUGGAACUGAGACACGGUCCAGACUCCUACGGGGGGCAGCAGUGGGGAAUAUUGGACAAUGGGCGCAAGCCUGAUCCAGCCAUACCGCGUGGGUGAAGAAGGCCUUCGGGUUGUAAAGCCCUUUUGUUGGGAAAGAAAGGCAGCAGGUUAAUACCCCGCUGUUCUGACGGUACCCAAAGAAUAAGCACCGGCUAACUUCGUG